GUAGGUGGCAAGCGUUGUCCGGGAAUUAUUGGGGCGUAAAGCGCGCGCAGGCGGUUCUUUAAGUCUGAUGUGAAAGCCCACGGGCUCAACCGUGGAUGGUCAUUGGAAACUGGAGAACUUGAGUACAGAAGAGGAAAGCGGAAUUCCACGUGUAGCGGUGAAAUGCGUAGAGAUGUGGAGGAACACCAGUGGCGAAGGCGGCUUUCUGGUCUGUAACUGACGCUGAGGCGCGGAAGCGUGGGGAGCAAACAGGAUUAGAUACCCUGGUAGUCCACGCCGUAAACGAUGAGUGCUAAGUGUUAGGGGGUUUCCCCCCUUAGUGCUGCAGCUAACGCAUUAAGCACUCCGCCUGGGGAGUACGGCCGCAAAGGCUG
rnacentral:rRNA from 1 species